GAUGAACGCUGGCGGCGUGCCUAAUACAUGCAAGUCGAGCGAACGGACGAGAAGCUUGCUUCUCUGAUGUUAGCGGCGGACGGGUGAGUAACACGUGGAUAACCUACCUAUAAGACUGGGAUAACUUCGGGAAACCGUAGCUAAUACCGGAUAAUAUUUUGAACCGCAUGGUUCAAAGUGAAAGACGGUCUUGCUGUCACUUAUAGAUGGAUCCGCGCUGCAUUAGCUAGUUGGUAAGGUAACGGCUUACCAAGGCAACGAUGCAUAGCCGACCUGAGAGGGUGAUCGGCCACACUGGAACUGAGACACGGUCCAGACUCCUACGGGAGGCAGCAGUAGGGAAUCUUCCGCAAUGGGCGAAAGCCUGACGGAGCAACGCCGCGUGAGUGAUGAAGGUCUUCGGAUCGUAAAACUCUGUUAUUAGGGAAGAACAUAUGUGUAAGUAACUGUGCACAUCUUGACGGUACCUAAUCAGAAAGCCACGGCUAACUACGUG
rnacentral:rRNA from 1 species